rnacentral:rRNA from 1 species
AUUGAACGCUGGCGGCAGGCCUAACACAUGCAAGUCGAACGAGCGGGGGGCGGGGGAGUAAAGUCUGGGAAACUGCCUGAGGGAGGGGGAUAACUACAGGAAACGGUCGAUAAUACAGCAUACCCUCACAUAUGCCCACAGGGGAUUAGCUAGUAUGGGGGGUAAUGGCUCACCUAGGCGACGAUCCCUAGCUGGUGUGAGAGGAUGACCAGCCACACUGGAACUGAGACACGGUCCAGACUCCUACGGGAGGCAGCAGUGGGGAAUAUUGCACAAUGGGCGCAAGCCUGAUGCAGCCAUGCCGCGUGUGUGAAGAAGGCCGUCGGGUUGUAAAGCACUUUCAGCGGGGAGGCGUUACCCGCAGAAGAAGCACCGGCUAACUCCGUGCCAGCAGCCGCGGUAAUUC